GCCUGGGUAGCUCAGGCGGCAGAGCGCGUCCUUGGUAAGGACGAGGUCACCGGUUCGAAUCCGGUCCCAGGCUCCA
rnacentral:tRNA from 2 species